CAGUCGCCACGGUAAUACGGAGGGUGCAAGCGUUAAUCGGAAUUACUGGGCGUAAAGCGUGCGUAGGCGGUUCGUUAAGUUGGAUGUGAAAUCCCCGGGCUCAACCUGGGAACUGCAUCCAAAACUGGCAGGCUAGAGUAGGGCAGAGGGUGGUGGAAUUUCCUGUGUAGCGGUGAAAUGCGUAGAUAUAGGAAGGAACACCAGUGGCGAAGGCGACCACCUGGGCUCAUACUGACACUGAGGUGCGAAAGCGUGGGGAGCAAACAGGAUUAGAUACCCGCGUAGUCCCUGUCUCUUAUAA
rnacentral:rRNA from 1 species